rnacentral:tRNA from 1 species
GGUCGGGUAGUUCAACGGGCAGAACACUCUGGUGCUGGCUGUGAGAGGUGGGAUGCCAGAGGACAGGGGUUCGAGUCCCUUCCUAGCCGCCA